rnacentral:rRNA from 1 species
GAUGAACGCUGGCGGCGUGCCUAAUACAUGCAAGUUGAGCGAACGGACGAGAAGCUUGCUUCUCUGAUGUUAGCGGCGGACGGGUGAGUAACACGUGGAUAACCUACCUAUAAGACUGGGAUAACUUCGGGAAACCGGAGCUAAUACCGGAUAAUAUUUUGAACCGCAUGGUUCAAAAGUGAAAGACGGUCUUGCUGUCACUUAUAGAUGGAUCCGCGCUGCAUUAGCUAGUUGGUAAGGUAACGGCUUACCAAGGCAACGAUGCAUAGCCGACCUGAGAGGGUGAUCGGCCACACUGGAACUGAGACACGGUCCAGACUCCUACGGGAGGCAGCAGUAGGGAAUCUUCCGCAAUGGGCGAAAGCCUGACGGAGCAACGCCGCGUGAGUGAUGAAGGUCUUCGGAUCGUAAAACUCUGUUAUUAGGGAAGAACAUAUGUGUAAGUAACUGUGCAUAUCUUGACGGUACCUAAUCAGAAAGCCACGGCUAACUACGUG